GGCGGAGUAGUUUAACUGGACAAAAUCCCGGCCUCAUAAGCCGAAGACUGCAGGUUCGAGUCCUGCCUCCGCAACCA
rnacentral:tRNA from 2 species